CAUCCAACAGUUUUUUUUUGUUGUUGAUAUAAAAGCUAGCUAAGUGCAUUCAGAAACAUUUUCACACCAAAAAGGAUGCAAGAAAGGAACUAAGAAUUGACUAACUACUAUUCUGCCAGCAGCACAAACGAGGACGACACUUUUGUAUGAUCCUCUCAAGCUUUGUCAGGAUGGAUGUGGAGCGUCACUGCACAGCUAUUUUCAGGUCUCUCCAGAGAUGUUCCACUGGGUUCAAGUUCGGGCUCUGGCUGGGCAACUCAAGGACAUUCAGAGACUUGUCCGGAAGCCACUCCUGCGUUGUCUAGGCUGUGUGCGUAGGGUCGUUGUCCUGUUGGAAAGUGAACCUUCGCCCCAGUCUGAGGUCCUGAGCGCUCCCGAGCAAGUUCACAUCAAGGAUCUCUCUGUACUUUGCUCUGUUAAUCUUUCCCUCAAUCCUGAAUAGUCUCCCAGUCCCUGCCGCUGAAUAAAUCCCCACAGCAUGAUGCUGCUACCACCAUGCUUCACCAUAGGGAUGGUGCCAGGUUCCCUUCAGAUGUGAUGCUUGGCAUUCAGGCCAAAUAAUUAAAUCUUGGUUUCAUCAGA